rnacentral:rRNA from 1 species
AAUAUUGGACAAUGGGGGCAACCCCGAUCCAGCCACGCCGCGUGGGUGAAGAAGGUAUUCGUAUUGUAAAGCACCUUAAGCAGCGAAGAAGAAUCCAUGGUUAAUACCCAUGGACGAUGACAUUAGCUGCAGAAUAAGCACCGGCUAACUCUGUGCCAGCAGCCGCGGUAAUACAGAGGGUGCAAGCGUUAAUCGGAAUUACUGGGCGUAAAGAGCGCGUAGGUGGAUUGUUGAGUUGGAAGUGAAAGCCCCGGGCUCAACCUGGGAACUGCUUGCAAAACUGGCAAGCUAGAGUACGGUAGGGGGUAGUGGAAUUUCCUGUGUAGCGGUGAAAGGCGUAGAUAUAGGAAGGAACACCAGUGGCGAAGGCGACUACCUGGACUGAUACUGACACUGAGGUGCGAAAGCGUGGGGAGCAAAC